CGGACCAUGCCGCAUGAUCGAUCCCGUAAUAGGUGAACUAGCACAGCAAUACGCAGGAAAACUCAAGUGCUUCAAACUGAAUACGGACGAUAGCCCCUCGAUCGCUUCCCAAUAUGGAAUCCGAAGCAUCCCGACACUCAUGAUCUUCCUGAAUGGUGAGAAAAAAGAUGCAGUUAUUGGUGCUGUGCCAAAAACUACUCUAUCAGCAAGCAUAGAGAGAUUCUUGUAGAUAGCGAUUCAUAAGAAGUGAUAUUGACUGAUGGAAUCAUGGAAGUGUCCAGCACUCAUCACCCACUUGGCUUUGGUUAGAUGCUUUAUUUCUCUCUAUGUGAUGUUGAAAAUUUUCCUACUUUUAUGUCAAAUUUGGAACCGUUCCUUGUCUCGUACACAUGCUUAUGUCUGUAUUUUGAAAAUAUUAAUUAUUGCUAACUAUAUACUAUAUAUUCAGCUUACAAAAUUUGCAAUCAUUUAAUUUGAAGCUUACCUAUGAACCAAAUUUCAGGUGGAUUUAGUUCCUUCCUUUGAUUGCCAAAAGGAAAGACUGAUAGUGAUUUUGGACCUAACUAUUCCUUUGAGGUAUAAAAUUUGCUUUUUUGGUGAAUUUCAUGACCCAUGGCUUCUAUAUUGGCCAUAACUUGUAAGCAGCGAAAAAGAAUAGUCCAUGUGGAAAAGCAUUUAAGGAGGAAUAUAUAUAUAUAUAUAUAUAUAUGAAGGGAAAAUUAGGUCCUAUAUUUGAUUUAAUGUUUAUGGUCAUCACUUUUUUAGUAUAUAUGACAUGAUAUAACCUAAUUCAUAUUUGUCCUUCACCAUUGCGUUACUAGAAAAGCUAGAGAUGCAUUUGGCAUGUAGUUGGAUGGAGUACAAUUUUGGACUUUAGGGUGGGGAUUAACCUAAUAGUACCCAAUUUUUGUACUUUUUUUUAUCAAUUAAUAUAUUUUCAUUUAAAUAAUUUAAAUUUUUUAUUUGUUAAAUCGAUUCAAUAAAUUUAUUUAUUUUUAUACAAUUUUAGGGGAGGAAAUGGAUUUCAUAGAGCUUAAACUUGAAAUUUAUGUCUACUACUUGAAGCUUUGCAAGUUAUAGUAGCUUCUCAACAUGAAUAAAUUUAUAUAAUUAUAGAAAUAUAUAAUAAUUAAUCAGUUAAUUAAAAUGUUUCAACAAAAAUUUGGAAUUUUGUUCCCGUACUUCUACUUUAAGGAAUUUAAUCUAUCUACUUUUUAGAUAUUCGAAAUUCGGGUCUAACGAUUGACAUUUAAGAUUAAUUUGUUAAAAUUUAAAUUAAUUACAACGUUAUUUUUUAGUUACAUUUUUACCAAGUGAAUAUUUUUUUUCUUUUAAAAUAUCACAUCAACAAAUUUAAUAAAAAUUUAACAGUUUUAACGAUCGAACUUGAAUUUUAAAAUUCUAAAAUAGAGAGAAUAAAUUUUUAAAAAUAAAAAUAUGAGAAUUAAAUUUUAAAUUUAUAAAUAAUAUAAGGACCUAUGACAUAUUUUAACCAUGUAAGUCUAUAUCAACAUGACACCCGUCCCACCAUCCUACUGUUUUUCUUACAUGAUAUAUUGAUCAGCCUAGAUUUAGAUUCAAUAUUUAUAUUUUAAUUUCUAACCUAAUUUAAAUCUAAUAUUUUAUAAUAUUAUUAGUUUGUCCAAAUAAUUAAUAUUAUUGAUUAUUUUGAUUAAAUUUUGGCAAAGGUUAAAUUUUAGUUAAAGAGCUAUAUUAUGUCUAAAUUUGAGAUUUAUUUUUAACACAAUUCGGUCUUAUAAAUUUAUAAUAUUAUUAAUUAGUUCAAAUAGUUUAUAUUAUUAAUUUAUAUAUAACUUAGAUUUAAUUAUGUUAAGAGUCUUUUUUACUUUUUAAAAUUUAAAAUUUAAUCACAGUAACAUUGACUUGAUUCUUUCACUAACUUCCUUCCAAUUUUUCUGGUAGUUGCUAAUGUUGCAUUUGUAAAAAGUUGUAAAAUAACUUUUUUAAUUAUUAAUAUUUAUAACUUUUGUCAACUUCACCAUACUCUUUAAAAAUACUUAAAAUUCAUAAAAAAAAAUAAAAAUCAACAUUAAUAACAUUAAUAACAUAUUGGACCGAUAAAAUUAAAAUUAAUGAUGACAUAUAAAUGCAAAAGCAAGGAUAAUGGUGAAAUGCAUUAUAACUGAUAAAAUAAUCAUUAAGCAUGUUAAAUUAAAAUUUAUUUAUAAACAUUCAAAGUUUUUGUUAUAUUAUAUGUAUUUAAAUAAUGUGACUUUCAUCCCUCACUUUUAAUUUUGUAUAAAAAAAAUCAUUUAUAAGUAAAAUAAUACAAUCAAUUAUUUUAUUUAUUUAAUUUUUUUUGCUACAAGGUAGACCUGAUAAUGGGUUGGGCCGGUACAAAAUUUUAGGCUUAUUUUCUGAGCCCAACUUGACCUAAAAAAUGAGCCUAAAAUUUUGUCUAAGCUUAGCCUAGAUAAAAAAAAUGCUAAACUCGAACCCGACCUAGCUUGCUUGUAUUAAUUUUUUUUUAUUUUUUAUAUAAAAACAAAUUUCAAAAAUAUAAUACCAAAUACACUAAAAACAUUAAAAAUAAAUGUUUCCCAACAAAUUGAAAGUACAUUAAAAAAGUCUUUAUACUUAAAAUAACACUAAGAUAAUUGCAAAAUUAACAAUAAAACAACAGUUAUACAAUAUCCAAACAACAACAAAAUGAUAGCAAAACAACAGCAAAUAGUAGCAAGAAAAAAAUUUAGGGAAAUUCGAGUUAGGCCUAGGCAAAAAAAAUUUUACCUGAGACCUGACUCAUUUAGAAAACGGGCCUUUUUUUUUUGUCCUAGAGGAGAAACUUAAUAUCCUGAAAAAUUGGUUGAAGUUUCCAUCCAGUUUUAGUGUCCCAUGAUGAUGUUACUCCAUUUUUUAUUGGCACUCAGUAGCCUACAAGAAUUGACAUUGAGAGAUAUAAAAAGCAAGAGUAUAACACGAAGAGUGAGGAUCUAGGCAAGAAGUUUGCUGACAAAUCUAAAACUGUGAAUAGAUAUGAGUUGGAAAUCAUUAGUAUUCUAGGUAAUGAUGUUAAGAGAAGAGACCAUUGUGCAUUAGUAGCAUCCGAAGAAGGAACCGAAUGAACUCUCUACUGCUACUAAGUUGGGCAAAAGUUGUCUUGGAAGGAAUUGAGGAUUGAUUGAAACAUAUCAGAGAUUCUUUU
rnacentral:lncRNA from 1 species